rnacentral:rRNA from 1 species
UACGGAGGGUGCAAGCGUUGUCCGGAUUUAUUGGGUUUAAAGGGUGCGUAGGCGGCCGAUUAAGUCUGGGGUGAAAGCCCACUGCUCAACAGUGGAACUGCCCUGGAAACUGGUUGGCUUGAGUACAGACGAGGGUGGCGGAAUGGAUGCUGUAGCGGUGAAAUGCAUAGAUAGCAUCCAGAACACCGAUUGCGAAGGCAGCUGCCUAGACUGUAACUGACGCUGAGGCACGAAAGCGUGGGGAGCGAACAGG